AUUGAACGCUGGCGGCAGGCUUAACACAUGCAAGUCGAGCGGGGACUUCGGUCCUAGCGGCGAACGGGUGAGGAAUGCUUGGGAAUCUGCCUAUUAGUGGGGGACAACAUUCCGAAAGGAAUGCUAAUACCGCAUACGCCCUACGGGGGAAAGCAGGGGAUCUUCGGACCUUGCGCUAAUAGAUGAGCCUAAGUCGGAUUAGCUAGUUGGUGGGGUAAAGGCCUACCAAGGCGACGAUCUGUAGCGGGUCUGAGAGGAUGAUCCGCCACACUGGGACUGAGACACGGCCCAGACUCCUACGGGAGGCAGCAGUGGGGAAUAUUGGACAAUGGGCGGAAGCCUGAUCCAGCCAUGCCGCGUGUGUGAAGAAGGCCUUAUGGUUGUAAAGCACUUUAAGCGAGGAGGAGGCUACUUUAGUUAAUACCUAGAGAUAGUGGACGUUACUCGCAGAAUAAGCACCGGCUAACUCUGUGCCAGCCGCCGCGGUAAGAC
rnacentral:rRNA from 1 species